UACCCAGAAAAUUCCAGAUUUGCUUCUCCCGCCGACCUAACUUCCCGACGUCACUACCGCUUCGUCCGACCACCUAUGGCCAUAAAAUUAGUACCUAUCUCUUCGUCUUGAAACAAGCUUUCCAUUAAUAUAUCCCUUGCAUCCUAUCAUGCACUAUAGACGACGAAUCGAAGCCAAGAAGUUUAUUGUAGCAAAUUGGGAUUUUUUGCCUAUUUCUUCAAAUCCCGGCCAAAUCUGGCCAAAUCGGAUGUUGAGGCUAACUGGGCUUUGUUCCUCUUGCCAUGUUCUACCAACCUACCAAGUUUCAUCAUCAAAUUUGAGCUGUGGAAGGAGAAUCGGAGAUUUGAGCAAAAUUGAGGGUUUUGUUCCGGUUUUCAGGACGUGAGGAAGAACCACACGGGGAGAAAUUUCAAAUAAACGGCAAGCUUAGCUGUAUAUUUUUGCAGGCGAAAUUAGUUGAGGUCAGGCGUACACGGGUUGAGGCAUAGUUGUCCCUGCUUCCGCAUUGUAGGAUCUAUCGAACUUUCACCCUCUUUACUUUUAUUUCUAUUAUACCUUUUGUUUUAUAAUUGCUCUGAUAACCUGUGGGAUUAAUAUUAUUAAGUUGAGAUUUGUGUAAUGUGAUUUGAAAGAUGUUGUGAAUUAGGGAGCAGGGUGGCUCCAGGAGAAUAAGUAUGGAUUUCUUAGAAGUGUUAAUGUCUUUCUACAUGUUUUUGGGUAGUCCAUUUUUAGGGGGAGUUCUGCCAAAUUUUUAGCAUAAUUUCUUCUAAGGUGGGCCCCGCAGGGCUUCUUCGGAUUUCAGGGUGAAAUCCGGGGCGGGUCCUGUCAUUUCGUCUCUACUUGAAACACUUGAUUCCUUGUCACCCCAUUCUUCACCACAGCUUCUUGUUGAAUUCCAAACUCACUCAAUAACCCAUUAAGCCAUAAUGCUUAUGCAGAAGCUUCUGUUAGUGUCAUGCAAUCUACUUCAGUGGUAGACAACGUCGUAGUUGAUUCCAAAGUUUAUCUACAACUCAUUAAACCUUCACCACAAGUAAAGACAUUACUUGUUGCAGGUCUUCUCUUGUCUAAGUCUCCUGCCAAAUCUGAACCUUCAUGACCAGUAGGGCUGUCAAUGUGUAGUGUCGGGUUGGGUUCGUGUCGGGUCAAGGUAUUUGUCGUGUCGUAAGAUACAAACCCAAACCCAACCCAUUUAAUAAUGGGAAAGGAUCCUCUCCUAAGCUUAUUCCCCUCCUAACCUACCUAAGCUUUUUAUCGGAUGACGACACGUGUCAAGUCUCAUAUCUAAUGGUCUACAUCCAUUCUCAACAUAAAAAGUUAUUGAUUUUACAAAAGAACCCUUUAUAGUUUUUGUCUUAUUCUCCUAUGCCAACUCUGUCUAUCUCCAGUCUUCAACUCUCUCUCUCUCUCUCUCCACCUUCCUCUGUUCUCAACUAUGAACAAUAAUUAAAAUUGUAUGCACCUGGAAAAUGAAGGUAAGAAUCAAAAGAGAUUAAGCACAACUAUCUCAACCCACUCAUCCCUUCUAUCGCCACAACUAUCUCAACCCAAUUUGAUUAAGCAAUCAAAAGAGAUUGAUAAGCAGUCAUUAGAGGAAUUGCAGCAAAUUACAGCGAUGGAAAACUAAAUUAAAACCAAACUAAUUCCAGGUCAAGUUUGGUAAAUUGGUUCCGUCGGAAAACUGGUUAGGUAAUUGGGUAUCGCCGGAAAAUUGAAAUAUCAAAAAUUUUUGUGGCUUUUUUUUAAGGAAUGGGAUUGCAACGUUUUGAUUUUGAGAGAAAGGAACCCAUGUGGGAAGG